ensembl:lncRNA
AUGUGGAGGAAUUUAGUCUCACAAUCACAGACAAUAAAUAUUAUCUGAAAGUUGGGUUAUUGUUGUUUAUCAGCACAAUACAAAAAGAUUAAUGUUAGAAAUAUUCCAGUUGAGACUCUAGAAUAUCAGGAUUUAUGUAAAUUUACCUCAAUAAUAUGAAUGUUCAGGUUAAGAUUGUGCAGUGAUAUUUAUUAUGUAAGUUUAGCUUAUUAAAAUUUAUGACUCUGCACUAAAAUAUUAUUUAAAUUGACAUCAUUAUUAUAAUAUUUAGGGUCAGACCCUACAGUAUUGAGAUUAAGAAAUCAAAUAUUCUAUAAACUGAACUCAUUUGGAUAUAUUUAAGUGAGACUCUACAAUAUUAUUUGACACAAAUCUAUCUAAAUUUUAAUCAUUUUUAUUCCAAACAUUUACUGGCCUGAUUUAAAUAUUAAAAUCACUCCUUUCUAAUCCUCUGCUGUACGUUCAAACCUGAGGCCUUAAAUAGAAACACACAAGUAUCUGUUUGAAGGAACUUCUGCAGAGUCCUGGUUCCAGAACAUGAUGAUAGAAUUAUAGACAAACUUUAACAAAAGCUGCCUGAGAGUUUACAGGUUUUUAUGUUGGAUUUCUUCAGUAAUUUAAUGAGCGUUAUCAGCAAAAAUCAAGUGUUCAUUUGAUGAACUUAAUUUCCUAAAACAUCCAGAAUUGGAGCUCAUAUCUUUGGCAGCUGUAAAGUUUCUGCUCCUUCAAAGUUCACAACACAAUGAAUGAAUUCCUAAAACACUCUCAAUGCUGGAGAGCGUUUGUGAUGCUGAAGCAGUGAUCAGUUUUUCUGUUUCUUCUCUGGAGAUGCACAAUGAGGGACGUCUGCAGAGACUGAGAAAGAGUCUCACCACAUCCUGACAUGAGGAAAAAGACUUUAUUGAAGACUACAAUGAGAAAAACUAUCAGACAGCAGACGGCAUGCAUUCAAGUCUGUAGCUGCUGAAUUCAUGGAUGAAUCAUCUGCCACUAGAGAAGAAGACCAUCAAACAUCCACGUCAGCUGAUGGAGGUCCAAGAGUCUCACCGAACAACCAACCUACAGAGUGAAGACCUCGAAUCUGAUUGGACGGCCUCCUAUUCAGCCACAUGCUGUUAGAUUGUUCCAGAUAAGACAAGUACAAGAUUCUUCAGAGCCGUUCUACCACGAGCCUGACAGGAAGAACUCCAACAGCUACUGAAUGUUCCUGUGCUUCCCUCAAGGCUACAGGAGGAGCCCUACGAGGACGAGCUGGUCCACCUGAUGGCGGCCAGUCGCUGCGGUUCAAAGCCAACACCGACUACGUGGACUUCUACUGGACCACACGGAGGCCUUCAAACCGGACCAAC